rnacentral:rRNA from 1 species
CCUACGGGAGACAGCAGUGAGGAAUAUUGGUCAAUGGGCGAGAGCCUGAACCAGCCAAGUCGCGUGAAGGAUGACGGCCCUACGGGUUGUAAACUUCUUUUGUCAGGGAGCAAUUGGGUCCACGCGUGGGCUUAGCGAGAGUACCUGAAGAAAAAGCAUCGGCUAACUCCGUGCCAGCAGCCGCGGUAAUACGGAGGAUGCGAGCGUUCUCCGGAUUUAUUGGGUUUAAAGGGUGCGUAGGCGGAAUAUCAAGUCAGCGGUAAAAAUUCGGGGCUCAACCCCGUCGUGCCGUUGAAACUGAUGUUCUGGAGUGGGCGAGAAGUAUGCGGAAUGCGUGGUGUAGCGGUGAAAUGCAUAGAUAUCACGCAGAACUCCGAUUGCGAAGGCAGCAUACCGGCGCCCAACUGACGCUGAAGCACGAAAGCGUGGGUAUCGAACAGGAUUAGAUACCCGAGUAGUC